rnacentral:tRNA from 1 species
GUCACGCUUCGAAUAAAGGUAGUUCGCUGGAUUUCUUUUCUAGAAGUGUUGGUUCGAGUCCAACUCGUGACA